UUGCAGUGAUGACUUGAAUCUGUCAAUCCCCUGAGUACGAUCAUUGAUGUCUCCUUGUGUCUGAGCAA
rnacentral:snoRNA from 1 species